GAUGAACGCUAGCGGCAGGCUUAACACAUGCAAGUCGAGGGGCAGCACGGAAGUGGUAACACUUUUGGUGGCGACCGGCGGACGGGUGCGUAACGCGUAUGCAACCUACCGACAGCUUGGGGAUAACGGAUGGAAACGUCCACUAAUACCUGAUAAUAUCAUUGGAGGCAUCUUCGGUGGUUGAAAGAAUUUUGGUUGUUGAUGGGCAUGCGUAACAUUAGUUAGUUGGUGGGGUAACGGCUCACCAAGGCUACGAUGUUUAGGGGGACUGAGAGGUUAACCCCCCACACUGGAACUGGGACACGGUCCAGACUCCUACGGGAGGCAGCAGUGAGGAAUAUUGGUCAAUGGGCGAAAGCCUGAACCAGCCUUGCCGCGUGCAGGAAGACGGCUCUAUGAGUUGUAAACUGCUUUUAUACGAGGGUAAUUGCGCGCACGUGUGCGUGUUUGAAAGUAUCGUAUGAAUAAGGAUCGGCUAACUCCGUGCCAGCAGCCGCCGUAA
rnacentral:rRNA from 1 species